rnacentral:rRNA from 1 species
AGGGAAUUUUGGACAAUGGGCGAAAGCCUGAUCCAGCAAUGCCGCGUGCAGGAUGAAGGCCUUCGGGUUGUAAACUGCUUUUGUACGGAACGAAAAAGCUUCUCCUAAUACGAGAGGCCCAUGACGGUACCGUAAGAAUAAGCACCGGCUAACUACGUGCCAGCAGCCGCGGUAAUACGUAGGGUGCGAGCGUUAAUCGGAAUUACUGGGCGUAAAGCGUGCGCAGGCGGUUAUGUAAGACAGAUGUGAAAUCCCCGGGCUCAACCUGGGAACUGCAUUUGUGACUGCAUGGCUAGAGUACGGUAGAGGGGGAUGGAAUUCCGCGUGUAGCAGUGAAAUGCGUAGAUAUGCGGAGGAACACCGAUGGCGAAGGCAAUCCCCUGGACCUGGACUGACGCUCAUGCACGAAAGCGUGGGGAGCAAAC